rnacentral:rRNA from 1 species
UACAGAGGUCCCAAGCGUUGUUCGGAUUCACUGGGCGUAAAGGGUGCGCAGGUGGUCGGGUAAGUCUGACGUGAAAUCCCGCAGCUUAACUGCGGAAUGGCAUUGGAUACUAUUCGGCUAGAGGGUUGGAGGGGGGACUGGAAUUCUCGGUGUAGCAGUGAAAUGCGUAGAUAUCAGGAGGAACACCGGUGUCGAAGGCGGCUUUCUGGACAGACACCGACGCUGAGGCACGAAAGCUAGGGGAGCAAACAGG